rnacentral:lncRNA from 1 species
CACAGCGAUGUUUGUUUUGUUCAACCGCUAGCUUUAUGCCGAACAUCGACAACCAGUAAUGUGUAAAUCCGGGUAAAAACAUAUCUGACUGUCAAAAACAACAAUGGAUGCCAUCAUUGGCACAACCCAAUCGGAACAACUCGGCCUUUCUGGUUGCACGAAGAAAUAACUAUUGUACUGCGUAGCGAGAAUGGCCGAGUAGUUACGAUUGUGGCACAACCGGAAAUGUAAAUAAAACCGGAUCAGAUUCUGGGAACGGAUAAGGAUAAUUCCGGGUUUGCCGAUUUAAAUACAAUAAAUGAAUAAAAAUCCAAGCAGAUCACAAAAUUUAGCUAUGAAAUAUAACCACAAGAAUUGAAAACC